rnacentral:siRNA from 1 species
GUAUCCCUACAUGGCGGGUGGGAC